UACGUAGGGGGCAAGCGUUAUCCGGAUUUACUGGGUGUAAAGGGAGCGUAGACGGCAGAGCAAGUCUGAAGUGAAAGCCCGCGGCCCAACUGGGGACUGCUUUGGAAACUGCCCGGCUAGAGUGCUGGAGAGGUAAGCGGAAUUCCUAGUGUAGCGGUGAAAUGCGUAGAUAUUAGGAGGAACACCAGUGGCGAAGGCGGCUUACUGGACAGUAACUGACGUUGAGGCUCGAAAGCGUGGGGAGCAAACAGG
rnacentral:rRNA from 1 species